rnacentral:tRNA from 1 species
GGGCGCGUAGCUCAGCUGGUCAGAGCGCUUCCCUUACAAGGAAGAUGUCGGGGGUUCGACUCCCUCCGCGCCCACCG